rnacentral:rRNA from 1 species
AACGAACGCUGGCGGCAUGCCUAACACAUGCAAGUCGAACGAGACCUUCGGGUCUAGUGGCGCACGGGUGCGUAACGCGUGGGAACCUGCCCUUAGGUUCGGAAUAACUCCCCGAAAGGGGUGCUAAUACCGGAUAAUGUCUUCGGACCAAAGAUUUUCCGCCUUUGGCUGGGGCCGCGUUGGAUUAGCUGGUUGGUAGGGUAAAAGCCUACCAAGGCGACGAUCCAUAGCUGGUCUGAUAGGAGGACCUGCCACACUGGGCCUGAGACACGGCCCAGACUGCUACGGGAGGGAGCAGUGGAGAAUAUUGGACAAGGGGCGAAAGUCUGAUCCAGCAAUGCCGCGUGAGUGAUGAAGGCCUUAGUGUUGUAAAGCUCUUUUACCCGGGAUGAUAAUGACAGUACCGGGAGAAUAAGCUCCGGCUAACUCCGUG